CCUACGGGUGGCAGCAGUGGGGAAUAUUGGGCAAUGGGCGCAAGCCUGACCCAGCAACGCCGCGUGAAGGAAGAAGGCUUUCGGGUUGUAAACUUCUUUUCUGAGGGACGAAGAAAGUGACGGUACCCGAGUCCCCAGACACGUCGCCAUGCGGUACAGCAGCGGCGCUAAUAGUGAGGUGGCAAGCGUUAUCCGGAGUUAUUGGGUGGAAAGGGCGUGUAGGCGGGAAAGCAAGUUAGAUGUGAAAACUCAGGGCUCAACCCUGAGCCUGCAUUUGAAACUGUGUUUCUUGAGUGCUGGAGUGCCAAUCGGAAUUCCGUGUGUAGCGGUGAAAUGCGUAGAUAUACGGAGGAACACCAGUGGCGAAGGCGGAUUGCUGGACAGUAACUGACGCGGUGGCGCGAAAGCGUGGGGAGCAAACAGGAUUAGAUACCCCUGUAGUC
rnacentral:rRNA from 1 species